rnacentral:lncRNA from 1 species
ACUAUACUCCCUAUAGUGAGGCUGCUGGAGAAUUUUCGAAAUGUGUGAAGUUUGAGAACGGGUUGCGUCCCGAGAUCAAGCAGGCGAUUGGAUAUCAGAGGAUUAGAGUGUUUUCUGAUUUGGUUGACUGUUGCAGAAUUUUUGAACAGGAUUCCAAGGCUCGAGCAGAGAGCUAUCAGCAGAGGGUUGAUAGGAAGGGCAAGAAUCAGAAUGAUCGUGGAAAACCGUAUGCAGCUGGCAAAGGUUUUCAGAAGCAGAGUGGGAUGAAGAGGCCUAGUGGGGGAGAUUCUAGUGCUCCUGUUAAGUGUUACAGAUGUGGUCGGGCUGGACAUCGUGUUCAUGAGUGUACCAGUGCUGAGAUGAAGUGUUUCAAGUGUGGCAAAGGUGGUCAUUUGGCUGCAGAGUGCCGGUUGAAGACUGUAACUUGUUUCAACUGUGGAGAGUUGGGUCAUAUCAGUCCACAGUGUCCUAAGCCGAAGAAAGAGAAUCAGUCAGGAGGCAAGGUCUUUGCUUUAUCGGGUUCUGAGACUUCUGCAGAUGAUCGUUUGAUCCGAGGUACGUGUUAUAUUAAUGGCUUUCCUCUUGUAGCUAUUAUUGACACAGGUGCUACUCAUUCCUUUAUAUCUUUGGAUUGUGCUGUGAAACUUAAGUUAGAGAUAUCUGAGAUGCUUGGAAGUAUGGUGAUUGAUACUCCUGCGAAGGGUUCAGUGACUACUACUUCAGUUUGUUUAAAUUGUCCUUUGAGUAUUUUUGGUAGAGACUUUGGGAUAGACCUUGUGUGUCUUCCACUAGUGCAGAUUGAUGUUAUCUUGGGUAUGAACUGGUUGGUGUUUAACCGAGUUUCUAUCAACUGUUUUGAUAAGACUGUGAUAUUUCCUGAGAUUGAGGAAGGAAAGAGUUUGUUUCUAUCAGCAAGGCAGGUGAAUGAGGCAGUAGCAGAUGGGGCAGAGUUGUUUAUGCUGUUAGCGACUUUGGAGGCUAAAGAUAAACUGGUGAUUUGCGAUCUAGCUGUGGUGUGUGAUUUUCCUGAUGUGUUUCCGGAAGAAGUGAAUGAAUUACCGCCAGAGCGUGAAGUUGAGUUCUCGAUUGAUUUGGUACCUGGUACUAGGCCGAUAUCGAUGGCUCCGUACCGUAUGUCUGCUGUUGAGUUAACUGAAUUGAAGAGUCAGUUGGAAGAUCUGUUGGAUAAGAAAUUUAUUCGUCCGAGUGUGUCACCGUGGGGUGCACCAGUGUUAUUGGUUAAGAAGAAAGAAGGUACUAUGAGGUUGUGUGUGGACUACAGGCAACUGAAUAAAGUGACGAUCAAGAAUCGGUAUCCUUUACCGAGGAUUGAUGAUUUGAUGGAUCAGUUGGUUGGUGCAAGUGUGUUCAGCAAGAUAGACUUGAGAUCUGGGUAUCAUCAGAUACGUGUGAAGACUGAGGAUGUUCAGAAGACUGCUUUCAGAACAAGGUAUGGACAUUAUGAAUAUUCUGUAAUGCCUUUUGGUGUGACUAAUGCGCCUGGAGUAUUCAUGGAGUAUAUGAAUAGGAUUUUCCACCCGUAUCUAGACAAGUUUGUCGUGGUGUUUAUUGAUGACAUUUUGGUGUAUUCGAAAUCUGAAGAAGAACAUGCUGAGCAUUUGAGGGUGGUUUUGGGAGUUCUACGAGAAAAGAAGUUAUUUGCUAAACUAUCCAAGUGUGAAUUUUGGUUAGAAGAGGUUAGUUUUCUUGGUCAUGUGAUUUCAAGGGGUGGUGUUGCUGUUGACCCUUCUAAGAUAGAAGCGGUAUCUAAGUGGGAAGCUCCUAAGUCUGUUGCUGAGAUUCGAAGUUUCCUUGGUUUGGCUGGUUAUUAUAGGAAGUUUAUUGAAGGAUUUUCUAAGUUGCGUUACCGGUUGACGAUGUUGACUAGAAAGGGGCAAGCGUUUGUUUGGGACUCAAAAUGUGAGGAAGGUUUCCAAGAGUUAAAGAGACGAUUAACUACUGCUCCUAUUCUGAUAUUUACGAGUUCGUCGGAAUUAUUUGAGUUUAUUGUGAUGCUUCAUUGUUGGGUUUUAGGUGGUGUGUUAAUGCAGAAUAAGCGGUUAUAGCUAUGCUUCGAGAAGUUGAGGAUUCAGAGAGAGGAACUAUCCGACGCAAUGAUUUAGAGUUGGCAGCUGUGGUAUUUGUCCUUUAAGUUAUGGAGGCAUUACUUAUAUGGUCAAGGAUUUGAAUUUUCAGUGACCAUAAAGAGUUUAAAGUAUUGUUUGAUCAGAAAGAGCUGAAUAUGAGACAGAGAAGAUGUUAGAAUUUUUGAAGGAUUAUGAUUUUGGUUUGAAUUACCAUCCGGGUAAAGCAAAUGUAGUGGCCGAUGCUUUGAGUCGGAAACAUUACAUAUUUCUAUGUUAUGGUCAAGGAAUGAUUUAAUUGAGCAGUUUAGAGACUUGAGUUUGGUGUGUGAAAGUACUCACAAUAGUGUUAAAUUGGGAAUGUUGAAACUAACAAGUGGUAUUUGGAUGAGAUCAGAGAGGGUCAGAAAUCCGAUGUGCUUUUGGUUGAUAAGUUGACUUUAGUAAAUCAAGGUCAAGUGGUGAAUUCAGAGUUGAUGAGAAUGGUAUUUUGAAAUUUGGUAAUCGGGUGUGCAUUCCGGAUGUUACGAGCUUAAGAAGAGUAUUCUGGAGGAAGGACAUCGUAGUGGCUUGAGUAUUCAUCCUGGAGCUACGAAGAUGUAUCAUGAUUUUGAAGAAGUUUUUUGGUGGCCGGGAAUGAAAAAAGAAAUUGCGGAGUUGUUUAUUCCUGUUUGACUUGUCAGAAGUCGAAGAUUGAGCAUCAGAAGCCGUCUGGCUAAUGCAACCGGUUGGCUAUUCAGAGUGAAGUGGGACAGUAUCAGUAUGGAUUUUGUUUCGGGUUUACCGAGAACAGUUAAGAAUUUUUGAGGCUAUUUGGGUGAUUGUGGAUAGAUUGACAAAAUCGGCUCAUUUCAUUCCGAUCAGAAUGGAUUAUCCGUUUGGAGAGGUUAGCUGAAUUGUAUAUCGAGAAGAUUGUAAGUUUGCAUGGUAUUCCGUCGAGUAUUUGUUUGGACAGAGAUCCUAGAUUUACAUCGAAAUUUUGGAGGUUUGCAGAGAGCUUUGGGACUAAGCUGAGAUUGAGUUCUGCAUAUCAUCCGCAGACUGAUGGUCAGACUGAGAGGACGCGAUUCAGUCCUUAGAGGUCUUUUGAGAGCUUGUUUUUGGAAAAGGGAGUGCUUGGAUGUUAUUUACCUUUGGUUGAGUUUACCUACAACAAUAGUUUUCAUUCAGAUUAGGUAUGGCACCGUUUGAAGCUUUGUAUGGUAGGAGAUGUCGGACACCUUUAUGUUGGUAUGAAUCCGGUGAGAUGCUGUGGUUGGACCCAGAGAUUGUUCAACAGACUACUGAAAAGAUAAGAUGAUUCAACAUAAGAAUGAGAAUUGCUCAGAGUCGUCAGAGAGUUAUCAUGAUAAGAGGAGAAAGUCACUUGAGUUCCAAGAGGGGAGAUCAUGGUGUUCUCGUGUUACCACGAUAACUGGUGUUGCGUCGAGCCUUGAAGUCAAAGAAGUUGACUCCUCGAUUUAUUUGGUCCUUAUCAGAUUUUGGAGAGGAUAGGAGAGGUAGCCUAUCGUAUCGCUUUACCGCCGCGUCACUUGCGAAUUUGCAUGAUGUUUUUCAUGUGUCUCAGUUGAGGAAGAUACAUUCAUGAUCCGUUCGCAUGUAGUCCAAGUAGACGAUGUAACAGGUGAGAGAUAACCUGACUGUUGAAACACUCACCUAUGAGGAUCGAGGAUCGAGAGUUGAAGCAGUUGCGGGGUAAAGAGAUUGCUUGGUGAAGGUAGCUUGGGGAGGACCAGCAGGUGGCAAUGUGACUUGGGAACUUGAGAGCCAGCAAUGAAGGAGUCUUAUCGGAAGUUGUUCGCUUGAGGUAUGUUUUCGAGGACGAAAACUCUUUUAGUGGGGGAGAGUUGUAACACCCCAAUUAAAAUAAGAUAAUUAUUUAAUUUAAAUUAAUAUUUAUUUAUUUAAUUUAAUUGAAUAAUUGGAAUUUUGGAUUAUUAUAAUUAUUUUGGAAAUAAAUCAUUGGAAUAAUUAUUUAUUGGAAUAUAUAAGUUGGAAUAAUAAAAAAAGUCCCAAUUUUGGAGAAAAAGGUUUUCACGUGAAAAGGAAAAGAAGGGCUGAAGAGAGGGAAAGGGCAAAGCAGAGCAAGAGAAGAGGAAAAGCUUGAAGCUGCAGAAUUUGCCGGAUUAACUCAGGUAAGGGGGGUUUAUCGUUGAUUACGGGUAUUAUAUGAUAAUAUGUCAUGGGUAGUGAUAGACCUUUAAUUUACCUCUGAAUUGGAUGAUUAUGAUGAAUUGUGAAUCUUUUUUGGAUGAACGAAAUUGGAAUAGAAUGGAGAGGAAUUCGUAGGAAUUUGAUGUAAACGUGUUAGAUUUUGUGUAAUCGAAUAAAAUAUGAGUUGUAUUGACAAUAUGAACGGUUAAUUGGUGUACAUUGGACUGUAGAAGGUUGGAUCGGAUAGGUUUCGUAAUAGGGAAAAACCAUUGUAGAUCUGAAAUCUGGGUUCUGUAGCAGAGGGUUCUGCUAGCGCGCCGAUUCGCGGCGCGAAGCCCAGUUCGCGGCGCGAACUGGCAAAAUCCAGAAGGGUUCUGUGACGCACCGUCGCGGCGCGAACCCUCCUGCGCGGCGCGAACUGUGCUGUGGCAGAAGUGGAUAUUAGAUCGUGAUUUCUGUGCUGUGGUGGUGCAGUUUUGCGUUUAGGCUGAGUGAUGUGACUUAGCUGAGGACUAAUGUAAUAGGGAUCAUUCCCGUUGUUUUUUGAGAGGCAUAGGUAUUAGUAGGGUGUGCUAAUACUAUGAUUGAUGGUGUGGCAUGAUAUGAUAUGCUUUCGUGAUAAUUGUGUUGAUGAUAUGUGAUGGUGUGCAUUAUGCUGUAAAUGUAUCAGUUAUGUAUGUGUUGUGAAUAGACUGUUUUACGGCUUAGAGUGUGAGCAUGUGUCUAUUCUUGAAUUGUUGUUGUUGCUGCAUUGCUAGAUGAUUAGCAUGCAUGCGAUAGCCUGUGGGGCUGUAGCUAAUUCCCAUAGUGAGGAAUUAGUGAGUAAAUCGUUGUGAAUUGUUGUUGAUGUUUGCAUGCUAGAUGAUUAGCUUGCAUAGUCUAGCCUUUGGGGCUGUAGCUAUUCCAUGGUGAGGAAUUAGUGAGUGAGUCACCAGGUCUCAAAUGAGUGGGACUAGUGAGCUUAGUAGCCGUAUCCGGAGGAUCGGUGAGCUUGAACUGUAUGUUUCGAGAAGAGUCGGUACCGCAUAUGUUGAGUCUCAUUGCAUAAUGAAUGUAUGGCAUAUAAUAUGAUUGGAUGUAUUCCAGUAUUAUAUGUGUGUUGUGUGUUGUGUUGUUGAUGUUGAGUAUGGUUGGAGAUCAUACAUAUGUUAUUAUGUUAUUGUUGAGUAUGAUGGUUGAAUUGAUACUGCCGUUAUUGAGUGUGUAGUCUGGUUAGGGUGAUUUGAUGCGUUAUUUACUUAACAUUACAUAAUGUUGUAUAAUGCUUAUUAUAUUGAUUGAGGAACUCACCCUUACAACCUAUUUUUCAGGUAACGAGCAGUGAGUUGAGUAGGAGCUAGUGCUUGGAGUCUAGUGUAGUCUCCUAGUGGGUCAUGCUCUGAUAGAUGUAACAUCGGGAUGGGUUGUUUGAAUAUUUUAUUGAUUGGUUGAACCAUUUUGCAUGUAAUAUGUUACAUGAUGUGAAUAAUUGAAUUGAUUUAUCCGCCCUGCGUAUUAUGCAGAUACUUCUAAUUUGGAUUAAAUAAAUGAGCAUGACAGGAUAUUCUGAUGAUGGUUGUGAAAUGAUUGUGUGACACCCUUCGGGGCCAUAAUUACUCCUGAUUGAUAUGUUGCUAUUUUAAUUAAAUAAUUUGGGGUAUUUAGAAGGGUGUUACACAGGUGCCUUAUGUGCCCAUAUUAGACCCUCGCUAGGCGAGCCAUUCUGCUCGCCUAGCGAGCAUGACAGCCCAGCAGAGGUCUAUAAGUAGCAGGUGCCACUUUUGAGCACCAUACCUAGUUUUACCUCAUUUUUCCACUUUUGUACUUUUGUUAGAUAUUUUUACAGCAUGUUUCUUGGAGCUUUUAUGCCCUAAUUUCAUUUCUCUUCAUCUUAGAACCAUCUUCUACAAAAAGAAGGUGGAUUCCCAUCCAACUUCGAUUAUCCGACUUGGAUGUUGAUCAACCUUCUUUCCUUACUUGCCGACCAAGCUACCAUGAAAAUGAGUAGCUAAGUCAUCCAUUUGUCAAGGUUAGAUGUAGGUGAUUACUAGCUUUGUGUGUAAAUGUAGGAUCCUCAUAUGUAAACUCUUUAAUGGUAAAUAUAUGAUGAAAACUUUGUUUCUAUUUAAAACUCUCUUUGUGUUGGUUUAUUGAUCGAGAGAUGUUUACCGGACUCUUGACCUAGGUUUUCAUCCAAACUUGUUUGUUAGCUAGAGAUAGUAAUGAAUGAUUUUGUUCACCAUAAGGUUAACCAAAAGGUUGUCAUUUUUGAUAGAUUGUGUUCGAGAGAAACAAUGGAUCAAAAUGCAAAACUCACAAUGUGUGUUCGAGAGAAACAUAUUGAGGAGGACUUUGUGAAAUUAUUUAUCAUCUAAAGGAGUUUAUAAGAUUGUUGACCGAGCAAAUACAUGCAAAGUGAUCAUUGAAACCUAACUUUGACAAUAUUUCUCAUUUAAUCAAUCAUAACUUUUACCGCAAUUUAUUACUUUUUUAUGCAAGAUAAACUUGAUUAAAACCAAAACCCUAUUGUUACAUUGAGCUACGAUUAAUACAACCAUCGAACGGCGGUGAUAUCUUACAAUCCCUGUGGAUACGAUAACAAAAACCCGACACGAAAUAUACAUCUCAACAACACCACACUAUGUUUCAAUAACUUGGCUUAGUUAUAGAUUUGUCUAGUUGAGUGGUAAUAUUCAACAUUGAUUAUUGAGUUGUAAUCUCCAAUCAUGGGUUGUGUGAUUAAGUAGAAAGUGAGAGGGGUUCUCAUAUUUAGGGGGACACCUAAAUAGAAAGUCAUUUGGUAAUGUUGGAAAGAGGCAUUAAAUAACAUAGGAUUUGUUUUUGCUUUUAAGACUAAAUGUACUAAACUACUAAUAGUGAAUUUUCUUUCUUGGGUUGGAAGCUAAUCCUUCAGACGUAUGUGUUGUUGCAUCAAACCGAGUUACCAAUUAUUGUGUUUAUUAUUGUUUUUAUACUCCAUCAUCUUGUACAAGUUAAAGUGUGUUAAUUAAAGAUUAUGGUAUAAGAAGUCAAACCAGUUGUCUAGGACAUUGUGUUCGACAUCUAUCCCUUGAGGAACAUAAUUUCAUAUAACCAUAACAUUCUUGAAAAUUUCAUCAAUAAGUAUGAUAAGGAAUUCGUUUCCAUCCAAGGAUAACACAUCAUAGAGUUCAUAAAUGUUUGAAUGAACUACAUUAAGUACCUCACUUAAUCUCAAUGGGAAGUUAUUAUUGAAGUUUGAUCUUGGAUGCUUUCUUACCAGACAUGCUAUAUGUAAGAUCUCUCACGGCACAUCUAAAAACAUCUUCUUUGAAUUAGCUUGGCUUAAACUAUUAAAAUUAAAAUGGAAAUACCUCUAACUACAUAAGAUGAUCUCAUUGUCUUGAAUCAUAGUUGCAAAGAAGACAACCGUUACUGCAUUGAUCGAUGUUUUAAAGGUUCUAUUUUUUUGUUGCAAGUAUUGCUUUCAAAACUAGCCUCUUAUUUGCAUCAUACAAUUUGAAAGAAUCAUCCUCAAUGAUCAUUGAGCAUCCCUUAUUUAAUAGAUGGCCAACACUCAUAAAAUACGAUUCAUCUCAAGGACAUAUCAAACUUUUUUUAUUUAUGCCUUCUUGCCAUCUUAUAGAUUCCCAAGAAAAUUCACCAUGUCUUCUACUUCAUUGAAUUGUUUCAACCAAUUUCACUUUGGUUCUUUUACUUGGAUCAAACUCAAUGAGUAACUUCUUAAUACAUAUCAUAUGAUUUAAGCACUGUGUGUCAAGGUACCAAGUUAUAAAAUUCAUCACUUCACUAGUUGUUGUCACUACUAACAUCAAUGUUUCAGAGUCAAAAAUUGAUCUUUCUUGUGCCAAAUUUGCUUCUUUUUCAUUAUUUAUAGGCUUCUUACUUUUCCAGACUAGUAUACAUUAACAUAGUGUCCAAAAUUUUCACCGGUAACAUUUGAAACUCUUCUUUAUAAAGAACUUAUUUUUGCUUUGAUUCCUCUCAUUAUCUUUCCUCUUUUAUGAGAGAACUAUGCUUUAUCUUCAUGCUUAGUCUUUCCUUUUCAUUUGUUCUGGCCCUUCAUCUUUUUCCAGUUCUUCUUAUCAAUUUCACUUUUUUUGAAUCUAAUAAAAAGAGUUUGUUCUUCUUAGUUUUUAUUAUUUCUUUCGAUACUUUCAAUUCAAAAGCUUCAAGAGUGUUAUGCAAUUCUUUAAUUUUGAUCUUACUCUUUAGUAGUUAUCACAAUAUGAUCAAAUUUAUGGUUAUGGUUAGUGUUCUAAACACACUCUCUAUCACCACUCCAUAUGUUAUAACAUCCCCACAAUUUUUCAUUUAGUUUGUGAGAGUCCCCAACCUUGUGAAGUAAUAAUCUACUUUAUCAUCUUUCUUCAUCUCCAUCAACUCAUAUUAUCUUCUCAAACCUAUAGCUUCAUUUUAUUGACCUUUGCAUCCCUUCCAUAAUUCUUUAGAUGAAAAUUGAGAGAAAGCGACCAAAAUCAAUCUAAAAAUACAAUUACUAAGAUUUUCUUUAAUCCCUAAAAUGGUGUGCAAAGACUAAUUUUAUCACACGACUCACAUAAAUGCAUAUAAAAGAUAUUAUUUAUCGUAUCAUCUAAGUGCUCUUGAAAUAUAUAUAUAUAUAUUAAUUUGUAAAUAAGCACCCUUAAUUAAAAUUAAAAGAAAAAUCAAUAUUAAAAAUUCCAUUUAAUGACUAGAUAUUGAAAUAAACAAAGAAACAAAUAUGUAAUUAACUAAGUCUUUUGCUUCCACAAGCAAGAGGACUUAAUCAACACAUUAUUUUAUAUACACAAAACAAAACUCUACAUAUUUACAAAAUCUCAAAAAAUAUACAAAACCCCAAUUUGGCAAAUUGAUGUCGGCCAAGUUGGUCUCCAUUUUAAUAUACCGCCCACAUGAGUUUCAUUUAACACCUCUCUCUCCCUCAAAGCCACCCAAAGAAAAAAAACACCUCAACUUGACCAACCUUCAAGUUAUCACUAUAUAACCCUAACCACAUAACAUACCCAAACCCCUUAUAAUCUUUAAAAAAAAAUCAUCUUUUCUUUCAUCUUCAUCUUUGCUCAAAACCCUUCAUAAUCAACAUAAUCACCACUCAAACUAACAAGAUCCAUCGACUUCUAUUACAACUUCUUUUCUUUUUAAUUAUCUUCAUCCAUAGUAUCAAAAAAUGCCUCCAAAUCCACCAAAAUCUUCUCUCCUCCUCCAUAGAAUCAACCACACCACCACUCCAACCGUCACCAACCACCAUGAUCACCUCCCCGGUGAAAACACCCCGCUCUUCGUCAACCCUGUCACCACCAUCCCUAAUACU